AAAUAAUUCCUCGGGAACGGUAUUAGAAUCAUUAGUUAUUUCAGCUCCAGUGUUUCCACUUACAUCGGCAGUAUUGCCUACAGUUACUAAAUUCGCUCUAAUCAUUUCCAUUUCUUCUGCUCGUCUGAGAACUUCUCUUGCUUCACAAUCUGCUGGAUGAUUACACAGUAUAGAACAGCCAUAAGGAUAAGGAUUAAAGAGACCAGAAAAAGGACGAAGAAUAAAAGGUGCUGGUUUAAUAAAACCUAUUAUCCCGACACGACUCGCGCCAAACUUUUCGUAUUGUGCAAAAGAGUUUGGUUACCGGACGAAGCGCGGUAAGGGAGGUUUCCCUUAGAAGAAGUGGGCAAUGGAGCGAUGGAGGAGGAGAGGGGACAAGAUCGAUGUCCAACUACCGUACAGUGGUGCCCUCAGUUGUAUUUUCUCAGAAUAUAGUUAUGGCUAAUAUUGGCCAGGAACGAAACAAAAUAUGGAAAAACCCUGUGACAAGGAAAAUUUUUUGUAUUCGACUAAAAAUAUAGUUUAUAUCAAGAUUUCACAAUUAUCACAAUUAUUUAAUUAAAUUUAAAAACUGAUUAAUUCUAUAACUAUUAUUACAAUUAGUUUAUGCGCAUAAAUUAAUAAUAUGUAUUUUAAUUUUAUACAUAUCAUUUUUAAUAACUAUUAAAAUUAUUUGUUCACGGAAAAUAAAAAGCAAUUUCAAUCUUCUUUUGUUACUCAUAAAUCUUGAUCUAUGUAGCAGGAGACGGACAAUAGUUCGUCAAUGUUAAUUACAAGGACGGAGAAACUUGGUCUUCGAAACAGGUGUUCUCAAUAAAAACUGGCAUAUCCAGAGAACUAAAAUAUCCAGAACUAUG